CAAGACCGCAGCAGCUUAGGACACCGGCUUAUUCCACUCCGAUCCCUCACAAAGUAAAACGAAGCAGCCUCCAUCCAUCACUAGCAAAGUCAGUGAUGGCAACAGGAAACACUCUCAUGCACGACUGGAUCACCCACGCUCCCUGCUGUCACAGAGAUACCAACGUCAGCACAGGGCAGAAGAAUGGGCCACUCAAGGAAACCCGACAGCCAGCACACCGGUGGCAAACAGGAAGGACAUGGAGGGUCAGGACACCUUAAGGGAAGGACACAGAGGAUCAGAGCACUGCGCAGUUGAGGGUUUCCCAGCUUCAGUGUUUGGAUCAGCUUAAUAAUUGUCUGGCUAGAUGAAUCAAAUAUUUUAUUUCAGGAUGAACAUGAAUGUGCACAGUGCUAGGGUACUCCAGGAGUUUGGCACCUCUGGUUUAAACAGAUGCCCAGCUAAAACAAUCCCAUCAUCAAAACUUUGCCCUUAUGUUAAAAUAUCACACUGAAAAUGUAUGUUUGUGAUCAUUAAUUAUGCUUAUGGGGUUUUAUUGUGCAUUGCAAUAAGAGCAGAGGCAUGUUGGUGAUUGUAGCAGGUAAUUGUCCUUUAUCAAAAGCUCAAGUGCAAUCAAGGAAAAAGCUGAAGUCCAGUGAACUACCAAAGGUAACCUGAAGGCAAUCAAGUUCUUAUAUAGUCUUCUAUCAGAGGCCUGGGAGCUUGAGGGUCCUGUGUAGUAUUGAGAUCUUCUCAAUGGAGAUCUCUGAUGUUCCCGGGAUCUGCUGGAGCCACUCCCAUCAAUGGUCCCAAGUGCUCAGAUUACUUCAAGAAGGACUGCUGCUUUCACCUUCCAUAUCUUUUCAAGCUUGUCCCUCAACCCUUGGUGUUUCUCGAGAUUUUUUAACAUCACCUUGUCCCUGAUGUUGCCAUUACUAUGGCCCUAUUUUAUAUAUAGACUGUUGUGACUGUUCGGGUUUAACAACCGGUUUCCACCUACACAUUAAAAUUCCAUCAUCGAGAUAAAAUGCCACUUGCUUACUACCCAUUUCCUCCUUACUACUCAGAAUAGAGAAAUACUUGGUUAAA